rnacentral:rRNA from 1 species
CAGGACGAACGCUGGCGGCGUGCCUAACACAUGCAAGUCGAGCGAGGAGAUUCCUCGGGAUGAUCCUAGCGGCGGACGGGUGAGUAACACGUGGGCAACCUGCCUCAUAGAGAGGAAUAGCCUUCCGAAAGGGAGAUUAAUACCUCAUAACAUUGCAGUUUCGCAUGGAACAGCAAUUAAAGGAGCAAUCCGCUAUGAGAUGGGCCCGCGGCGCAUUAGCUAGUUGGUGAGGUAACGGCUCACCAAGGCGACGAUGCGUAGCCGACCUGAGAGGGUGAUCGGGGCCACAUUGGGACUGAGACACGGCCCAGACUCCUACGGGAGGCAGCAGGUGGGGAAUAUUGCACAAUGGGGAAACCCUGAUGCAGCAACGCCGCGUGAGUGAUGACGGCCUUCGGGUUGUAAAGCUCUGUCUUCAGGGACGAUAAUGACGGUACCUGAGGAGGAAGCCACGGCUAACUACGUGCCAGCAGCUGC